rnacentral:rRNA from 1 species
CACGGGGGGAGCAAGCGUUGUCCGGAAUCAUUGGGCGUAAAGCGCGCGUAGGCGGCCCGAUAAGUCUGCUGUGAAAGUCCAGGGCUCAACCCUGGAAUGCCGGUGGAUACUGUCGGGCUAGAGUUCGGAAGAGGCAAGUGGAAUUCCUGGUGUAGCGGUGGAAUGCGCAGAUAUCAGGAGGAACACCUAUAGCGAAGGCAGCUUGCUGGGACGACACUGACGCUAAGGCGCGAAAGCGUGGGGAGCGAACAGG